ensembl:snRNA U6 U6 spliceosomal RNA
GUGCUCGUUUUGGCAGCACAUAGGCUAAAACUGGAACGAUCCAGAGAAGAUUAGCAUGAUCUCUGUGCAAGAAAGACAUGCAAACCUAUUCAGUAUAUAGUUAAAUGU